AGUUGGAGAGCAUGAUCUUGAC
rnacentral:miRNA from 10 species